CUGCUGAUCAGGACUCAGUCUGCUGCCUCCCGUAGGAGUCUGGGCCGUAUCUCAGUCCCAAUGUGGCCGUUCAACCUCUCAGUCCGGCUACUGAUCGUCGACUUGGUAAGCCGUUACCUUACCAACUAUCUAAUCAGACGCAAGGCCAUCUUUUAGCGAAUUGCUCCUUUCCCACUAGUACCAUGUGGUACCUAUGGCAUAUGCGGUAUUAGCAAUGAUUUCUCAUUGUUAUUCCCCUCUAAAAGG
rnacentral:rRNA from 1 species